AACAUACGAUUUGGGUAAAAACCUAGUCAAAGAUAUAUCAAGAUCCGUGUCCAGUCAAUGUGAUCCUUGUACAGUCAAGUUGUUAUUAUAGUCAAUGUGAUCCUUGUACAGUCAAGUUGUUAUUAUAGUCAAUGUGAUCCUUGUACAGUCAAGUUACUAUCAUAGUUAUUUUUCACAGAUGCUUUAGAUGACGACACAACGUUACUUACAAAUUAGGCUGACCUCAGAGAUACAUUCAUCAGUAUUUAUUUAUUAGUAUGUAUUGUAUAAUAUAUGUUUUUUUAAGAGAACAAAACAAAUCAAUCCAUAAAGACUGCCUCGAUGAUCUUCACGGUGUUAUGGUAUUGUGUUAACUUUUAGUGUGGGAGGUGGUGGGUUUGAACCCUGGACAGU